AAAGAUUAAGCCAUGCAUGUAUAAGUAUAAACGCUUUCAGCGUGAAACCGCGAACGGCUCAUUACAACAGCUAUAAUUUACUUGAUCUUGACAACCUACUUGGAUAACUGUGGUAAUUCUAGAGCUAAUACAUGCACCAAAGCUUCGCCCAGCGAUGGAGGAGCGCAUUUAUUAGAUCAAAACCAAACGGCUUCGGCCGUCCAUUGUUGACUCAGAAUAACUAAGCUGAUCGUACGGUCUUGCACCGACGACGUGUCUUUCAAGUAUCUGCCUUAUCAACUUUCGAUGGUAGUGUAUCUGACUACCAUGGUGAUGACGGGUAACGGAGGAUCAGGGUUCGACUCCGGAGAAGGGGCCUGAGAAAUGGCCACUACGUCUAAGGAUGGCAGCAGGCGCGCAAAUUACCCACUCUCAGAAUUUGGAGGAGGUAGUGACGAGAAAUAACGAGGCUGUUCUCUACAGAGGCCAGCCAUCGGAAUGGGUGCAAUUUAAAUCACUCAACGAGUAUCUAUGAGAGGGCAAGUCUGGUGCCAGCAGCCGCGGUAAUUCCAGCUCUCAAAAUGCAUAGAAUUAUUGCUGCGGUUAAAAAGCUCGUAGUUGGAUCUGUGCUGGUGUGCCGGUCUCGCCUUCGGGCGUGUACUGGUUCUCGCACUGGCUUUCCAGCAGUUUUCGGCUGGCUCUCCCUCACGGGUCUGCCUGUUCGGUGCUGCAAGUUUACUUUGAACAAAUCAGAGUGCUUCAAACGGGCGUCUCGCUCGAAUGUUCUUGCAUGGAAUAAUAGAAGAGGAUUUCGGUUCUAUUUUAUUGGUUUUAUAGACUGAGAUAAUGGUUAACAGAGACAAACGGGGGCAUUCGUAUUGCUACGUGAGAGGUGAAAUUCUUGGACCGUAGCAAGACGAACUACAGCGAAAGCAUUUGCCAAGAAUG
rnacentral:rRNA from 1 species